UAAACUCCGCAGUGUUCUUGUGUCUGAUUUCACCCAAUCACAACCAAACCUCCUAAGAGAGUGUGUUAUGCUACUUCCUUUGAAAGUUCGGUCCUUUGGAACAUCCUUAAUAAAAGGGUGUUAGCUGAACUUCACAUUCCAUCUUACAUUUGGACUUCUUUUUCCCGGGCAAUAGGAAAAGAUGCUCACUUUGGACCAAUUCAGGAACAAAAAUACGUUAAUAGGUCUUGGGUUGGGACAGUUUCUCUCUCUUCUGAUCACUUCAACUGGUUUCACCUCUUCUGAAUUGGCCAAAAAAGGGAUUAAUGCACCAACUUCACAGUCGUUUUUAAACUACGUAUUUUUGGCAGUUGUCUACGGGAGCAUUGUUCUGUACAGAAGGGAAGCACUUAAGGCAAAAUGGUAUUAUUACAUACUUCUUGGCUUGGUUGAUGUUGAAGCAAAUUUUCUUGUUGUGAAGGCGUAUCAAUACACAUCACUAACAAGUGUGAUGCUGCUUGACUGCUGGUCCAUCCCAUGUGUCAUGCUUUUUACGUGGAUUUUCCUAAAAACAAAAUAUAGACUAUUGAAGAUAACCGGUGUACUUGUUUGCCUUGCCGGCCUUGUCCUGGUUGUAUUUUCAGAUGUCCAUGCAGGCGAUCGAGCAGGUGGAAGCAACCCUCGUACAGGGGAUCUUCUUGUUAUUGCUGGUGCUACAUUGUAUGCUGUCAGCAAUGUCAGCGAGGAGUUUCUAGUGAAAAAUGCCGAUAGAGUUGAGUUGAUGGCAAUGUUGGGUGUCUUCGGUGGCAUUAUCAGUGCCAUUCAAAUAAGCAUACUUGAGCGCAAUGAGCUAAAAUCUAUUCACUGGUCAGCUGGGGCAAACCAUAAAAUCCCGAGUUGCUUUUUGUUUGCAAUCUUGGAAGGAAACAAUGAAUUUGGUCCUAACAAUGGUGAUGUACCCCUUUCUCUUGAGAUCAGGGGCGCUUCCUUUUGUUGGAUUUGCGGUGGCUAUGUUUUUGUUUUACUCUUUAGUCCCUGUCCUACUAAAGAUCAAUGGUUCCACUAUGUUAAAUUUGUCUCUAUUGACCUCGGACAUGUGGGCUGUCUUAAUUCGCAUCUUCGCUUACCAUGAGAAGGUUGAUUGGAUGUACUAUGUGGCCUUUGGUGCUGUUGUUGUAGGUCUUAUUAUCUAUUCUGGUGGUGAUACAAAUGAGAAUGAAGACCAUCUCCAUCUUGCUGAAGAUGCGAACCAAAGACAACAUGAUGAAGAAGCUACUACUUCAGGUAAAUCAUAAUAAUAGCACCUGGGCCGGAUGCUCCAAAAAACUAAGCACACCUUAAGAGGUGUUUGAAGGGUAAAACCAUGAGGAAGAGUCUCCUUCAAAGAUGGACAUUUUACUUGCAUUCCUAGAUUGCAAAACAAGAAGCAUUCGAUUCGAUUCAAUUUGUGUAGAUGGAAAUUUGAGUGUUUAGGACGGUUCUUUUAAUGUUUAUUCUAAAAUUCAGUCAGUAAUAAUAGCGUGCUAAAUUUCACAUAAUUCUAAAA